GAUGAAGAACGUAGCGAAAUGCGAAAAGUAGUGUGAAUUGCAGAAUUCAGUGAAUCAUCGAAUCUUUGAACGCACAUUGCGCCCCUUGGUAUUCCAUGGGGCAUGCCUGUUCGAGCGUCAUUUGUACCUUCAAGCUCUGCUUGGUGUUGGGUGUUUGUCUCGCCUCUGCGUGUAGACUCGCCUUAAAACAAUUGGCAGCCGGCGUAUUGAUUUCGGAGCGCAGUACAUCUCGCGCUUUGCACUCAUAACGACGACGUCCAAAAGUACAUUUUUACACUCUUGACCUCGGAUCAGGUAGGGAUACCCGCUGAACUUAAGCAUAUCAAUAAGCGGAGGA
rnacentral:misc_RNA from 1 species